GUGCUUGCUUUGGCAGCACAUAAACUAAAAUCAGAAUGAUACAGAGAAGAUUAGCAUGGCCCCUAAGCAAGGAUGACACACAAAUUCAUGAAGCGUUCCAUAUAAAA